CGGCGUGCCUAACACAUGCAAGUCGUACGAGAAAGCCGGCUUCGGCUGGUGAGUAAAGUGGCGCACGGGUGAGUAACGCGUGGAUAAUCUGCCCUUAAGUGUGGAAUAACGUACCGAAAAGGCGCGCUAAUACCGCAUAAUGCCUGGCAACACAAGUUGUCCGGCCAAAGAAGGCCUCUGUUUACAAGCUUUCGCUUCAGGAUGAGUCCGCGUACCAUUAGCUUGUUGGUGGGGUAAUGGCCUACCAAGGCUGCGAUGGUUAGCUGGUCUGAGAGGAUGAUCAGCCAUACUGGAACUGAGACACGGUCCAGACUCCUACGGGAGGCAGCAGUGAGGAAUAUUGCGCAAUGGGGGCAACCCUGACGCAGCAACGCCGCGUGAGUGAGGAAGGUUUUCGGACUGUAAAGCUCUGUCGAGCGGGAAGAAGUGUACCAUGGCUAAUAUCCAUGAUAUUUGACGGUACCGCUAGAGGAAGCACCGGCUAACUCCGUG
rnacentral:rRNA from 1 species